rfam:Chlorocebus sabaeus isolate 1994-021 chromosome 3, whole genome shotgun sequence.
ACUGGGCAUGGUGGCGCAUACCUGUAGUCCCAGCUCUUCAGGAGGCUGACGGGGGAGGAUCGCUUGAGCUCAGGAGUUCUGGGCUGUAGUGUGCUAUGCCAAUCAGGUGUCCACACUAAAUGCAGCAUCAAUACAGUGACCUCCCGGGGGUGGGGGACCUCCAGAUUGCCUAGGAAAGGGUGAAUUGGCCCAGGCUGGAAUCGGAGCAGGUCAAAACUCCCAUGCUGAUCAAUAGUGGAAUCGUGCUUGGGUAUAGCCACUGCAUGCCAGCCUGGGCAACAUAGUGAGGGCCCAUCUCUU